CUGUGCGUUAAUUUUCUUAAUAAACAUUAUCAAUUGUGUAUGGCAAUGAUGAUUGAAAUAGUAAAUACUUACAAACAAAAUGUUCAUUAUUCAAAAUACAACAAACAAUAAAAUAACUUGUUUUUAUGGCAGUAACGAAUACGAAAAAUAAUAAAACUUUUUGCAAACAAAAUAUUCCCGAUUCCAAAAGUCUUAAAUAAUAAAAUUUAUCUACGGUGCCUGUGGCGACAACCUUAGUGAUAGAAAAUAUUAAAAUUUCAAUAUUAAAACAUGUAACAAUAAAAUUUAUCAAUUGCAUGUGGUGGCAGUGGCUCCGGCCGUUGCCAUGGCAGCAACAACAUUGAUGGAUUUGUGACUUUUAUUUGAAUAGCCAUAGAAGGCAAGGAAAAAUUAUCUUAAAAAUAAUUUUUCAUUAAAAUAGGAAACCUUUCAACUCAUAAAACAAAAUUUCUACUUUAGACUGCUUUUGUAGCAUCUCAACCAGGUAUGUUCUAUUGUUUGUAUUGCUAUAGUAAUUAUAUUUGUACACCGUAUAUGCGUAUCAUUUGACGUGCCACUUUAUACUGUUCAUUUACAUGUGUUGUGCAGGGGUUAUAUACAAAAGUAGUCAUCAUAGCUAACAACCUACAAGCCAUAAACAAAUUUUUAUGAUAUUUUCAGAAGUUAAUUAUAGAUUUCUUUUGGGAAAAAUCUACUUUACCCCCUGUUUUGACACGAGCGCUUCACACCUCUCACAUUCAAAAAUAGCCAAGCCAAUUUACCACCACCUUGUUUUGGAGUAAAGUGCAAUGUGAACUCUGUUAACUGAAUUGGGGAAAUGACUGUCAUACCCUUUUUUUAUCUUCUUCUCCUAUUUUGUUUUCCUCCUCCUCCUCCUCUUCUUUAUGUGUGUGUGUGUGUAUAGAUUGGCCAAACAAUUUUUGUUAAGAAGCAAAUUUCAAUAAACCGCUUAUUAUUAAUUAAGCCACAUAUAAUCAAGAUAUUAGACCAAGUUCCCCUAUUCUGCAAGUAAUGUCUGCUUUUAACUUAAGUUUUAAUUAACCAUUCAUUGGAUAUACAUACAAAUGUUUACAUAUGUACAGAUUUAGAAUUCAUGUUAACACAGAUUUCUGUUAAUAAUUGUUUAAAUAGGUUUGGGGAUACAAUAUUCAAGCCCACAAAAUUUUUGUGAUGAAGAAUAGGGGAAGGAUUGGCCCACCACCUGUCACCACCAAUAAUGUUGUCAUUCAUUUUACAGAUUGACAAGAGGACCACAAAAAGCUUUUGGUGGAGCAAUAAUUGAGCAAUUUAUUCUGGUGUUUUGCUACUUUAGACCACAGUGUUGCAUCACAACCAGGUAUAUUCUUCUGGUAAUGCCCAUUUGAUAUGACAUCUUACAUGAUCUAUUUAAAUGUGUUGCCAGGAUUUAUCAAGUGGUGCAAUUUGUGCACAUAUAUCUAUCACGACAUCACAUGGUACUCAAAUUUAGUCUUUAUAAAAAGUACUUUCUCCAUAUGAACUCCUAAUAGCAGCCAAUCCUUGUCAUGAACAAUUGUUUUUUAUGAUAUUUUUAUAAGGUGAUUUUAAUUAUAAGAUUUUUCUUAUUCUUAUAAAGAUAGGAAAAGAAAAAGAAAAGAAAAAAGUUGUUGGAAAUUUGGAAUUCAUAGACUGAGAAAGUCACUUGCCUCGUGCUAGAAUCUUGUACAUUUUUCUAUUUCUCACGCUACAGUAAAGUAAUCAUCUGAAAAAGUUGUUGGAAUACAAUAUAGAUUCAGAAAGUCAUUUGUAAAUUUUAAUACUGAAAAGAAAAGGGGAAUUAUUAAGCAAAGUAUGAUUGGUGGUCUUUUGCUUGUUGCAUCUAGAUAUUUUUAUGAUGUGGUUCAUUUAUGUGUUUAAAUUCUCUAUUGAACACCAGUGUUAGAAAGCUACAAGCACAAAAUUAGGCCACAAAAGCGGAUGUGGCCACUGGCCAAACACGUCCUCAACUUGGCUCACUCAAGUUACUAAAUAUCGGUCGAUAUGUAUCUGGAUUUUGACAUUCUAAUAUGAAUAUUUUAGUAAAUGUCAACUCAUACUGUCUAAUAUAGGCCGAUACAUAAUCAUAUCACCGAUACAGUUAUUGAUAUCAGCCGAUAUGUAUCUGGAUUUUGGUAUUACGGUACGGAUAUUUUAGUAAAUGUCAACCGAGACGGUCUGAUAUAGGCCAAUACAGGACUAUAUCACCGAUAUAGUUACUGAUACUGCGAUUUAGGUUUCCCACUUAACCAAUGCUAUAAUUGAAAAAAAGAAGAAAAAAAAGAAACGUAAAAGAAUACUGGCAAUGUUAUUAUGUCUAGAAGUUCACUCAAAGAGAGAGAACACAAGAAAUUCCCAUCUCCAUAGCAGAACCUAUUUCUACGGUGGCAUAUAUACACUACGUUUUAUAGCAAUGUUUUUUGAGUUGACAACUCUCUAGAGAUUCUAAAAAAUAAAAAUGCCAUUGGACUUUGUUUUUAGACCUCUCCUCGAUCUCAUAAGAAAG
rnacentral:lncRNA from 1 species